rnacentral:rRNA from 1 species
UUGACNUCAAAUCGGUGAGACUACCGCUGAACUUNAGCAUAUCAUAAGCGGAGAAAAAACU